rnacentral:rRNA from 1 species
UGGGGAAUAUUGCACAAUGGGCGCAAGCCUGAUGCAGCCAUGCCGCGUGUAUGAAGAAGGCCUUCGGGUUGUAAAGUACUUUCAGCGGGGAGGAAGGUGUUGUGGUUAAUAACCACAGCAAUUGACGUUACCCGCAGAAGACGCACCGGCUAACUCCGUGCCAGCAGCCGCGGUAAUACGGAGGGUGCAAGCGUUAAUCGGAAUUACUGGGCGUAAAGCGCACGCAGGCGGUCUGUCAAGUCGGAUGUGAAAUCCCCGGGCUCAACCUGGGAACUGCAUCCGAAACUGGCAGGCUUGAGUCUUGUAGAGGGGGGUAGAAUUCCAGGUGUAGCGGUGAAAUGCGUAGAGAUCUGGAGGAAUACCGGUGGCGAAGGCGGCCCCCUGGACAAAGACUGACGCUCAGGUGCGAAAGCGUGGGGAGCAAACA